UCUUCUGCUAUAUGUGAAAUUAUCCUGCAAAAAAAUAUACAUACACUACAUUAUUGAAUUGUUCCUGUUGAAAGUCGGAGCAAUAUUCCUUCUAUGUGCUCAUGUUGAGUGCGUGUUUGUUCUUAUGCAACUUGCAAAUAUAUAAUCAUGUCACAAGGGGACGUUCUGCUCAGAGCCAUCAUCCUGGCCCCCACCUUCCAAUAGUCUUUUCAGGUUUCCUUAUCCCAAUUUUCUCUAAUCUUCUUUUGCAUCUUCUUUGUUUCCAAAUUUUGUCACACUACAACAUGCAAUCCAACACCUUUUCUGAUUUACUUAUUUUUAUGUAGAAUUACAAUUUGUAUGUAGAAGUUGCAUGAUUCCACUUCCGCAGAAUCUCAUCAAGCAAAGAUUUGCUGACUGAAAUGUUGAUUCAAUACUGCAAUCUUUUUCAAGACAGAAUCUCAUCAAGCGAAUAUUCUAAAAUUUGUGUUUUCUUUUGCAGAUUCUUUACAAUGGGAAUAAAUAUCCAAGUUGUUAAUUAAUUUUGUUAUCAGAUUUCCCCAAGAAUGUUGAAACCUAUGUCCACAUGGUAUGCAUACAAUAGAUUGGCAUUUGGAUUUUGGUGUUCUGACUAUGAGGCUUUCUUUCCUUGGUUGGACUAGGAGCGGAACAAUACAUGAGCCUCUUUCAGUAUGAGUAGAACAUGGCCUCAUUUGGGAUAUGACGAUGAACCGGCGACCAUGGAAUUUGACAAGGGCUUCAGGAUAACAUCCAAACUCGACCUGAGCCUUUUUCCCUCCGGUAAAGCUCCUUCUAGACUGCGAUAUGAUAUACAUUUCCCAUGCAUAUCGUUAUUUUUGGAUUCACCCUGAAGGAUGAUACUUAUGAGCACAUGUUUUACUUUUUUGCUUGGUGCUUAGGCUUCUCCUGCCAGGACUGAGAAUGUGUGACAGAUUUUUUUUAUUAACAUUACAGUUGAAGUUUCAGUGUUGCUUCGGUUCGGUUGCAUCUCUGUUGUGAGCAGAUAUAUAGUACCAUAAAAGCCCUUGUUUAUCUUUGGUUAGUUUGUGUUCAUGGAAAUAAAAGGUUGUCGCAAAACUAUUGCUGCUUCUGUACCUUUUAUUUCUUAAUCCUUUCUUUGUUGUUCUUGUUCUUCAUACAUCGAUGUAGAAAUUCAGCCUCUAGGAUCUUACCAUGAUAUUCAUACGUAUUCUUGUUUCUGGCUAUUUAUGCCUUUUGUAUGGUUGUUUCUUUCCUUUUAAUGUGUAUUUAUACAUGAAAAAAAAAGGAUUAGUGCCCAAACGUUGUGCUUUCUCUAAUUUGUUGUCCCUUAUACCUGCUUCUGUGUUGGUCCCUUUUUCCCGUUUCUCGGCAUUGCUUCUGGGUGUUUGUUUCUUGUUUUAUUAUCGAGUUAUUUUCAUGGAAAAAAUGCCUCGGUGCGCACACGUUGGUGUUUCCCACCUUUUCUUUGUUACGCUUGCUUCUAUUUGGUUGCUUCUUGGUUGUGAACAAAUAAAGCUCUCAGAAGUCUUUGUUUCCCUUUAAUUAGUUUUAUUCAUAGAAAUAAAAGGUUGCCGCACAGCAGUUGCUAUUUCUAUACUUUCCCUUUCUUAACUCUGUAGUGUUGUUGUUGUUUUUUGACCAGCUUUAUUACUUGUGCAUUGUGGUUUAGAUGUUGGUUUAUUUCUUUCGCUUGCAUCUGCUUGGUCGUUCUUGUUCUUCCCUGGAGUGUUUUUCUUGAUACAUCUGUGUACGAUUUCCAGCCUCUAUGAUUUACAACGGUAUUCUUACGUGUUCUUAUUUGAUGAUCAUUUGUUGGUUUACCGUUAUGCUUACUUCACAAGGUUAUGAGCUUACUCUUGACUUCUUUGUGCAAGGCCUAUGAGCUUUUAACCUAUGUGGAAACAUUCCCGGUUCUUCACAAGGGUUUUCUUUACACAAAAAUUGUGCCUUCACCAUGGACAAAAAGAUUGCCAUAAAGCUACUCUUGUGUUGGACCAAUUUCGGAAAGAUAAGUGUCUCUUCUGUUUUGUGGAAUAAUUAUGGUGGUGGUGCUCAUGGGUAUGCGGGCCUGACAUCUUCAGCUACGGAGGUACACCGUACACAGUACACGAUCGGCCUGAGCGACGAGC